UACGUAGGGUGCGAGCGUUGUCCGGAAUUAUUGGGCGUAAAGGGCUCGUAGGCGGUUUGUCGCGUCUGCUGUGAAAGACCGGGGCUCAACUCCGGUUCUGCAGUGGGUACGGGCAGACUAGAGUGCAGUAGGGGAGACUGGAAUUCCUGGUGUAGCGGUGAAAUGCGCAGAUAUCAGGAGGAACACCGAUGGCGAAGGCAGGUCUCUGGGCUGUAACUGACGCUGAGGAGCGAAAGCAUGGGGGAGCGAACAGG
rnacentral:rRNA from 1 species